GAUGAACGCUAGCUACAGGCUUAACACAUGCAAGUCGAGGGGAAACGGCAUCGAAAGCUUGCUUUUGAUGGGCGUCGACCGGCGCACGGGUGAGUAACGCGUAUCCAACCUGCCCACCACUUGGGGAUAACCUUGCGAAAGUAAGACUAAUACCCAAUGAUAUCUCUAGAAGACAUCUGAAAGAGAUUAAAGAUUUAUCGGCGAUGGAUGGGGAUGCGUCUGAUGAGCUUGUUGGCGGGGUAACGGCCCACCAAGGCUACGAUCAGGAGGGGUUCUGAGAGGAAGGUCCCCCACAUUGGAACUGAGACACGGUCCAAACUCCUACGGGAGGCAGCAGUGAGGAAUAUUGGUCAAUGGACGAGAGUCUGAACCAGCCAAGUAGCGUGCAGGAUGACGGCCCUAUGGGUUGUAAACUGCUUUUAUAAGGGAAUAAAGUGAGUCUCGUGAGACUUUUUGCAUGUACCUUAUGAAUAAGGACCGGCUAAUUCCGUGCCAGCCGCCGCAGUAA
rnacentral:rRNA from 1 species